CCUACGGGUGGCAGCAGUGGGGAAUAUUGCACAAUGGGCGAAAGCCUGAUGCAGCAACGCCGCGUGAAGGAAGAAGGGUUUCGGCUCGUAAACUUCUAUCAACAGGGACGAAAGAAAUGACGGUACCUGUAUAAGGAGCCCCGUCUAACUACGUGCCAGCAGCCGCGGUAAUACGGAGGGGGCAAGCGUUAUCCGGAAUUACUGGGUGUAAAGGGUGAGUAGGCGGCAUGGUAAGCCAGAUGUGAAAGCCUUGGGCUUAACCCGAGGAUUACAUUUGGAACUAUCAAGCUCGAGUACAGGGGAGGAAAGCGGAAUUCGUAGUGUAGCGGUGAAAUGCGUAGAUAUUAGGAAGAACACCAGUGGCGAAGGCGGCUUGCUGGACUGAAACUGACGCUGAGGCACGAAAGCGUGGGGAGCGAACAGGAUUAGAUACCCGGGUAGUC
rnacentral:rRNA from 1 species